rfam:Triticum aestivum genome assembly, contig: Triticum_aestivum_CS42_TGACv1_scaffold_252635_3DL
GUAGUACUCCCUCCGUCCGAAAGAGCUUGUCCCAAGAUUGUUCCUCAAAUGGAUGUAUCUAGCAACUUGCUGCUAGAUACAUCCAUUUGAGGGACAACCUUUUUCUGACGGAGGGAGUAUAAG